UACGGAGGGGCUAGCGUUGUUCGGAAUUACUGGGCGUAAAGCGCACGUAGGCGGCUUUGUAAGUUAGAGGUGAAAGCCCGGGGCUCAACUCCGGAAUUGCCUUUAAGACUGCAUCGCUAGAAUUGUGGAGAGGUAAGUGGAAUUCCGAGUGUAGAGGUGAAAUUCGUAGAUAUUCGGAAGAACACCAGUGGCGAAGGCGACUUACUGGACACAUAUUGACGCUGAGGUGCGAAGCGUGGGAGCAAACAGG
rnacentral:rRNA from 1 species